GACGAACGCUGACGGCGUGCUUAACACAUGCAAGUCGAACGGUGAAGCGCCUUCCUUUUUGGUGGGUGUGGAUGAGUGGCGAACGGGUGAGUAACACGUGAGUAACCUGCCCCCUUCUUCUGGAUAACCGCAUGAAAGUGUGGCUAAUACGGGAUAUUCUGGGUCUGUCGCAUGAUGGGUCUGGGAAAGAAAUUGUUUCGGUGGGGGAUGGGCUCGCGGCCUAUCAGCUUGUUGGUGGGGUGAUGGCCUACCAAGGCGGUGACGGGUAGCCGGCCUGGGAGGGUGGACGGGCACACUGGGACGGAGACACGGCCAAGACUGGUACGGGAGGCAGCAGUGAGGAAUAUGGCACGAUGGGGGCAGGCCUGAUGCAGCGACGCCGCGUGCGUGAUGGAGGCCUUCGGGUUGUGAACCUCUUGCGCCAGUGAAGCAGGCCUGCCUCGUUUGUGGGUGGGUUGACGGUAGCUGGAUAAGAAGCGCCGGCUAACUACGUG
rnacentral:rRNA from 1 species